rfam:Strongyloides stercoralis strain PV0001 genome assembly, scaffold: SSTP_contig0000003
AUCUCUUGGGUUUGAGCAAUCAAACGGAUAAUUUUUUCGCCUUUUACUAAAAAAUUCCGUGCUCAAACCCAUUAAAGAGCAUUUUUAAUUUUUGGAGGCCCUCCUACGGGAAGGCG